CAGAAGUACCUAUGCGUGUGCACCAACUGAAUUUAAGGACCUUCUAGCUUUUCCAUUAUAAGACCCAUUUUGGGGUUCCUCUACCUUCUGAGCAUCUGAACCAGCUCACCUCAAGUUGAAACAGCUUAGAAGGUUUCACUUCAAAGGAAUUUUACAUCCCCAGAGAGUAUAGAACAGAUUUGAUCCAGUGAAUAUAGACGCAUGAAAAAUUAUAGCCACAGAAUAGAGACUCAUACACACAGUGGACAGAAAGCCUGAUACACUAGCCUUACUAAUUGGACUAAGAGAAAUGCCUUAUCAGUGAAGUUAGAAAAGGACCUAUGAAAAGUGUUUCAGAGACUGCUGUAAAUCAAAGAAGAGGAACUGAACAGAAGGAAAGCCAAUCAAGUGUACCCCUCCGAGCUGUGAGUCUACAGGAAAAGCAGAGCUUCAUUGCACGGAGGCGUAAGUGGCCAGCAGCACCCUUGAAUGUUCUUCAUGAUUGUCGUUGAUGCUUCUUUAAAUUAUGGCUUGUCAUUCAAAUAGCAUUUUCCUUCCACAUCAGAUCAUCCAUUCUGACCUCAGAUGGUCAUAGUAAACCUUUUGUCUUCUCUCCUUACCUACUUUCUAUGAGAAACUUACUUGUUCAUCACUUCUUCUAUUUCCCUGUGUCUUAAUGAAUUGCUACAGUUUAUGUCAAUAUGUAUUUCCCAUUCUUCUGUCCCUGGAUUAUUUUUGCCAAUUCUCAAAGGCCACAGAUAACCAGAAACAAUCUCAGGUUUUCAUAUACUGCAUUUAAUCCAUGGUAACAAGAAGUUUCCAUGUACAAAAAAAAAAAAAAAAAAAAACCAUACGACAAGCAACCCAGUGUUGCCCAUAAAGUAGUAGGAGCUUAAACACAGACUGUUACAGAAAUGCUUGACCCUUUCUCACCAAGAUAUUAUAAAAGCAAAGAAAUCCCUUAACAUCAAUCAGAUUUCAAAAAUCAUACAGAGAAAUAGAUUACUCAGGCAUCCAGAGAAAACACAAUGGUUUUGAAGGCGAAAAGACAAGAAGGUAUUAUGCUACAGUCUUACUUCUAAGUCAAGAAAAAUAGAACUACAAUUUCAUAUGUAUAAUACUUAUUUGGUUUUGUUUGAGAGAUAUUAAACUGAAAAUUGGUAUCAUUUUAAUUGCUAAAAAUUCCCACGGUAUUGUGCACGAAAGGAGUGACAUUGCCUUAGUGUACUUGCAAUAUGCUCAGAGGGAGAUCAUAUUCCAUGUCCUGAAAUUUCUCUUACACUUUUGUUAACUAACUUUCUUCCUGUGUCACACUAUUUUGUGGCAUAGCACAUUGCAUUUCACUGUAUGGUAUUUCAUAUUACAUGCUAGGAAUUACAUCCAAUUAUUCCUAGCUUCUCCCGCAUCUGUUGUUUAAAAGAAAAUUAAAAAGAAAAAAACACUGAGGAAGAAAAUGUGUAUGUUAUCCAUUUAGACACGUGGCUGUCCAAAGCUGUUACACUUGCUCUCUGU
rnacentral:lncRNA from 1 species